UACGUCUCCCUGCGGGUCCUCCGACGUGGGGCUGCUGUCUCCUCCUUUUCGUCCUCUUUCUCAUCCUUGUCACCACUGCUUCCAGCACCGUCGGUCUCUGUGGCUUUGGGCUUCUUCGCCUCAGCUGCGGGUUUCACAGGUACCUGGAAAGAAGCAAAUGUAGUGGAUUGAGCAUUCUAGUCAAGUUCAGAACCGUUACAACAGUAAUACAUUGGUUGGGAAAUUGUAACACAUUGGUUGGGAAUAACUUACCGCUGGCUUCUUGCCACCAAAAAGGAUCCUGAAGAGAACAGUAACGAACACGAUGACAACGGAGACCAAAAUGCCAAUAGUGAUGUUGGGCUGCUUCUCUCCCUUCUCGAUAACAUCCUGUUUACA
rnacentral:lncRNA from 1 species